UCCAGCUGCCAUAUCACCUUACAACUCACAACUGGCAGCUCCACUGAAGCUAAGCAGGUGUAAGUCUGGUCAGGACUCGGAUGGGAGACCUCCUGGGAAAAACUAAGGUUGCUGCUGGAA
rnacentral:rRNA from 1 species